rnacentral:rRNA from 1 species
CCCUUAGAUGUUCUGGGCCGCACGCGCGCUACACUGACGCAUUCAUCAAGCCUACAACCUUGGCCGAGAGGCCUGGGUAAUCUUUUGAAAGUGCGUCGUGAUGGGGAUAGAUUAUUGCAAUUCUUAAUCUUCAACGAGGAAUUCCUAGUAAACGCAUGUCAUCAGCAUGCAUUGAUUACGUCCCUGCCCUUUGUACACACCGCCCGUCGCUACUACCGAUUGAAUGUCUUAGUGAGGACCACGGAUUGCUGUCUUGGGUGGCAACACCCCUGACGAUGAGAAGUGGUCCAAACUUGAACAUUUAGAGGAAGUAAAANUCGUANCA